UUAAUAAAGCACAUCCAAUAUUGAGACCCUCAACUCUGUAGUCAUCUAUUCAAUGAAUGAAGCUGAUAGCGUGCUACCUAUUCUCAAAAAAUAAAGCACAUCCAAUAAAUCUUGAGGAGAUUGUUAUGUAAAUAGUGAUUUAUUUCAUAUCAUAAUAAUGUGAGUAACUUAUUUCAUGUCAAUUUAUUUCAUGUCAAUAGUGAUUUAUUUCAUGUAAAUAAUGAUUUAUUUCAUGUCAAUUUUUUUUAUUUCCAUAACUGUAUAACUAAUCAAAAGUUAUAAUUUAAAAAUAUAAAUUUUAUCGAAAAUAAACUAAUUU
rnacentral:lncRNA from 1 species